UAUGAGCUCUGUGAACUUGGCUAAAUGGAGCUUCUGAAUCACCACUGGGCCGGGAUUUGCAAGAACAAGCUGAAGAAUAGAUGUAAAUACUUGCUCCUAUACAGUUCUUCAAAGGCAUGGAUGCCACUUGUGUCGAUGUCUGUCACAGCUGCACAUACAAUCAGGCAGCGAAAAGAUCGAUGUCGUAAAUAUCAGAUCAAGAUUGUACAAUAAGAAUGAGAAAUAAAUAAGGACCUUCGCAAGCGAUAUAGAAACCUAUUUGUGCAGGAGAGAAAAAGAAAUCCAUGGCAAUUGAUAUCAGCAAACACAAAAAGGAAC